rnacentral:rRNA from 1 species
GACGUGACUUCUAGAGUUUGUAUCCUGGCUCAGGAUGAACGCUGGCGGCGUGCCUAACACAUGCAAGUCGAACGAAGCACUUUGAUUCCUUCGGGAUGAUGAGUGACUGAGUGGCGGACGGGUGAGUAACGCGUGGGUAACCUGCCUCACACAGGGGGAUAACAGUUGGAAACGACUGCUAAUACCGCAUAAGCGCACAGUACCGCAUGGUACAGUGUGAAAAGUUUUUCGGUGUGAGAUGGACCCGCGUCUGAUUAGCUAGUUGGCGGGGUAACGGCCCACCAAGGCGACGAUCAGUAGCCGGCCUGAGAGGGUGGACGGCCACAUUGGGACUGAGACACGGCCCAA